rnacentral:rRNA from 1 species
UACGUAGGGGGCAAGCGUUAUCCGGAUUUACUGGGUGUAAAGGGAGCGUAGACGGCAGUGCAAGUCUGAAGUAAAAGGCGGGGGCCCAACCCCCGGACUGCUUUGGAAACUGUGCUGCUGGAGUGCAGGAGAGGCAAGUGGAAUUCCUAGUGUAGCGGUGAAAUGCGUAGAUAUUAGGAGGAACACCAGUGGCGAAGGCGGCUUGCUGGACUGUAACUGACGUUGAGGCUCGAAAGCGUGGGGAGCAAACAGG